CCUCCUGACAACCCAACUUAUAGGAGGUCCAGCCUGCCCGGUGACAAAGUUUAACGGCCUCGGUACCCUGACCGCGCGAAGGUAGCAUAAUCACUUGUUCUUUAAAUAGGGACUAGUAUCAACGGCAUCACGAGGGCCAAACUGUCUCCUCUCUCCAAUCAGUGAACCUGAUCUCUUCGUGAAGAAGCGAAGAUUAAUAUAUAAGACGAGAAGACCCCAUGGAGCUUAAAACUAACAACACCUUCUUACACUUAAGUCCGCCUAAACAAGAAGGCCUGUCAAUAGUUUUCGGCUGGGGUGUCCAAGGAGUAAAACUCAACCUCCUUGACGAAGUAUAUUCAAGAACAACAGUUCUAAAAAAUAAUAAAUUAGCGUAAAAUGACCCGAUAUUCUAAUCGAUCAACGAACCAAGUUACCCUGGGGAUAACAGCGCAAUCCAUUUCAAGAGCCCCUAUCGACAAAUGGGUUUACGACCUCGAUGUUGGAUCGGGGUAUCCCAGUGGUGCAGCCGCUACUAAAG
rnacentral:rRNA from 1 species